GUUUUGAGAAAUCAAUUUGUUCAAAAGAUGCAUAUUGAUAUGUGCUACUCUAUGAUGCCAAAGCCAAGUGUCAUCCUCUUUACUCAUUAGACAAUCAACAUAGUCGAGUGAGGAAUUAGCAAGAUCAACCAUAUAAAUAUUAUCUACUCUAAAACCACGGAGGAUAAUUUUGAAAUCACUACGUCUGAACACUAAGCAUUCAUCCGAAUCAAAUAAAGCAAGAUUUCCCUUGUCACAUGUUUGCUUCCCCUUUUGACACGAGUCACAAAUAGAGUCAUUUUCAAAUUUUAAAUUGGGGAGACCAACAACUAAGUUUUGAGAAAUCAAUUUGUUCAAAAGAUGCAUAUUGAUAUGUGCUACUCUAUGAUGCCAAAGCCAAGUGUCAUCCUCUUUACUCAUUAGACAAUCAACAUAGUCGAGUGAGGAAUUAGCAAGAUCAACCAUAUAAAUAUUAUCUACUCUAAAACCACGGAGGAUAAUUUUGAAAUCGCUACGUCUAAAUACUAAGCAUUCAUCCGAAUCAAACAAAGCGAGAUUUCCCUUGUCACACAAUUGGCUUAUGCUCAAGAGAUUAUGCUUUAAUCCUUUAACAAGUAAUAUAUGCUUAAUAGCGGAUUUUUCAUUCUUACCAACCGAGCUGAUGCCAAUGAUCUUUCCUUUGUUAUUAUCGCCAAAGAUGACACUUCCUCCUUCUUUGUGCUCUAAUUGAAGGAACUUGGAUUCAUCUCCUGUCAUAUGUUUGGAGCAUCCACUGUCAAGGUACCAUAGUACACUUGAUCCCUUCAAGCACACCUACAAAACAAAUUAAUGUUCUUUAGGUACCCAUGCCAUCUUGGGUCCUUGGGGGUUAGGCAUGUUAUAAUGAUGCGAUUGA
rnacentral:lncRNA from 1 species